GGCCCCGCGGGUAAUUGCCUCAGUAGCGGCGAGUGAAGCGGCAAGAGCUCAGAUUUGAAAUCGUGCUUUGCGGCACGAGUUGUAGAUUGCAGGUUGGAGUCUGUGUGGAAGGCGGUGUCCAAGUCCCUUGGAACAGGGCGCCCAGGAGGGUGAGAGCCCCGUGGGAUGCCGGCGGAAGCAGUGAGGCCCUUCUGACGAGUCGAGUUGUUUGGGAAU
rnacentral:rRNA from 1 species